rnacentral:lncRNA from 1 species
CUGAUUUCAUAAACGACCAUGGAGAUUCUAGAAGGUUAUGGGAGACAACUUCUUACGAAAAAUCUCUUGAGCGAUUUGUUGUUUGUGUCCUUUGGACUGUAUUUAUUUUGUGGUAUUGGGAAUUCGAAUCGUUACGGGAUGACUGAGAUGCUUUUAGUCGUUGUCAUUAACGACCAUCUUAACUCCUAAAUCUCACUCUUACCACGAUUCAUCAUUCAAUGCACCUGCCUGCUCUUUCAGUCGGUGAUUCUCCGUGUAUAAAAAGGUUAGUCUUCAUUCCCUUAACAUCAUCCUUUCAUCCAAUACAACUCAGACAACUUUCCUUUAGGAGAAUGUCGAACUCAUCUGUCUUCCUAGCUGACUUGAAAGCGGUCAAUGUAGCACCACCGCCAAAGUCAUCUGCUUCUUCUUAUAGCUAAGGUAACUCCGGUGAUAUGGAAAAACAAUAGCUUCCCUUUUCUUUUCAGAUUUGUUAGGAUUAAUCACAAGGUGGCGAGCUUAUGGCUUCGAACACCGUCACUGUCCGACUCUCCUAUGUUGAUUUGAUCUAAAAUUCAACUAUGCAACUUCCCCAGCAUCAAGUCGUCCAAUACUAUGACCAAGCUUUUUAUUGGUUCUUAUUUCUUAUUAUUUAUUCUUCAGAAAAGUCCACCCUCAGCCUAACGUUUUGUUUGCCGUGCCUAAAUUAUUAUGAUCUAAUCUAAUGAAAUGUUUCUGAUUCACAAAAAAAUGUAAUUGGUAG